AUGCGGGGGGCGGGCCCUGGAGGGGCGGGCCCAGGGGCGUGGCGCGCGGGCGGGCGGCCCCAGGCCCAGAGGCUCGGUCUCCGAGCGCGGCGAGCGCGGCACAGCGCAGCUCCCGGCCCUCGCGCGGCGGUUGUGGGGCGGCCUGGCGCGGCUCCCUCCUGCGCCCCAGGGCCGGACGCCCGCUGCAGCCUUUCGAAGUGGAAGCGGCUCUGGCUCGCAGCUUCUCCCCUGGCGGCGCUUUCUCUCUGCGCAGCGCAGACACGGGCGCCCUCGCCUGCCCCGCGCUCCUCGUCGUUCGCGGUGGAUGAGGUCGCCUGCAGAUCCGGCCGCGCCCGGGCACUGCCCAGGUGGAGGGGCGGAGAGGCCUCGGCUCUGUUUUCGUCUGGGCGUCAGGAAAUGGAGGAAGGAGCAAGGACCACUGCUCCUGUGACAGCUACACCAACAGCAUCUACACCAUCUCCAUCAGCAGCACAGCCGAAAGCGGAAAGAAGCCUUGGUACCUGGAAGAGUGUUCGUCCACACUGGCCACAACCUACAGCAGUGGAGAGUCCUACGACAAGAAAAUAA
rnacentral:lncRNA from 1 species